rnacentral:rRNA from 1 species
GCUUAACACAUGCAAGUCGAGCGAGAAUCGUUUAUUGAAGGCUUCGGCUGGAAAUAGAUGAGGAAAGCGGCGAACGGGUGAGUAACGCGUGGGCAACCUGGCCUUAAGAAAAGGAUAGCCCCCGGAAACGGGGAGUAAUACUUUAUGAGAAUGAAAGAGGGCAUCCUAUUUUCAUUCAAAGCGCAAGCGCUUAAGGAUGGGCCCGCGUAUCAUUAGCUAGUUGGUGAGAUAACAGCCCACCAAGGCAACGAUGAUUAGCCGGUCUGAGAGGGCGAACGGCCACAUUGGAACUGAGAGACGGUCCAAACUCCUACGGGAGGCAGCAGUGGGGAAUAUUGCGCAAUGGAGAAGAACUCUGACGCAGCAAUACCGCGUGAGCGAAGAAGGUCUUCGGAUCGUAAAGCUCUGUUAUCAGGGAAGAAGAAAAUGACGGUACCUGAUGAGCUAGUCCCGGCUAACUACGUGCCAGCAGCCGCAGUAAUAC